rnacentral:lncRNA from 1 species
AUGAAGGUUAGAUGUCAGUGCCAAAGAACAGAAGAGACAGUAAAACCAAAUACACAACUCACAGUGCACAAAGGGAGAGGGAAGAGCGCAGGAGGGUGGAACACGAAACGGAUGGAGAGAGAGCGCAGGAGGGUGGAACACGAAACGGAUGGAGAGAGUGUAGGAGGGUGGAACACGAAACGGAUGGAGAGAGUGCAGGAGGGUGGAACACGAAACGGAUGGAGAGAGUGCAGGAGGGUGGAACACGAAACGGAUGGAGAGAGUGUAGGAGGGUGGAACACGAAACGGAUGGAGAGAGAGAGCGCAGGAGGGUGGAACACGAAACGGAUGGAGAGAGAGAGCGCAGGAGGGUGGAACACGAAACGGAUGGAGAGAGUGCAGGAGGGUGGAACACGAAACGGAUGGAGAGAGUGCAGGAGGGUGGAACACGAAACGGAUGGAGAGAGUGCAGGAGGGUGGAACACGAAACGGAUGGAGAGAGUGCAGGAGGGUGGAAAACAAAACGGAUGGAGAGAGUGCAGGAGGGUGGAACACGAAACGGAUGGAGAGAGUGUAGGAGGGUGGGAACAUGAAACGGAUGGAGAGAGAGAGCGCAGGAGGGUGGAACACGAAACGGAUGGAGAGAGAGAGAGUGCAGGAGGGUGGAACACGAAACGGAUGGAGAGAGUGCAGGAGGGUGGGAACAUGAAAUGGAUGGAGAGAGAGAGCGCAGGAGGGUGGAACACAAAACGGAUGGAGAGAGUGCAGGAGGGUGGGAACAUGAAAUGGAUGGAGAGAGAGAGCGCAGGAGGGUGGAACAUGAAAUGGAUGGAGAGAGAGCGCAGGAGGGUGGAACACGAAACGGAUGGAGAGAGAGAGCGCAGGAGGGUGGAACACGAAACGGAUGGAGAGAGAGAGCGCAGGAGGGUGGAACACGAAACGGAUGGAGAGAGAGAGCGCAGGAGGGUGGAACACGAAACGGAUGGAGAGAGGAACACGAAACGGAUGGAGAGAGAGAGUGCAGGAGGGUGGGAACAUGAAAGGGAUGGAGAGAGACUGCAGGAGGGUGGGAACAUGAAACGGAUGGAGAGAGAGAGAGUGCAGGAGGGUGGGAACAUGAAACGGAUGGAGAGAGAGAGAGUGCAGGAGGGUGGGAACAUGAAACGGAUGGAGAGAGAGAGUGCAGGAGGGUGGGAACAUGAAAGGGAUGGAGAGAGAGAGUGCAGGAGGGUGGGAACAUGA